rnacentral:rRNA from 1 species
AGUGAACGCUGGCGGUAGGCCUAACACAUGCAAGUCGAACGGCAGCACAGUAAGAGCUUGCUCUUACGGGUGGCGAGUGGCGGACGGGUGAGGAAUACAUCGGAAUCUACUUUUUCGUGGGGGAUAACGUAGGGAAACUUACGCUAAUACCGCAUACGACCUACGGGUGAAAGCAGGGGAUCUUCGGACCUUGCGCGAUUGAAUGAGCCGAUGUCGGAUUAGCUAGUUGGCGGGGUAAAGGCCCACCAAGGCGACGAUCCGUAGCUGGUCUGAGAGGAUGAUCAGCCACCCUGGAACUGAGACACGGUCCCGACUCCUACGGGAGGCAGCAGUGGGGAAUAUUGGACAAUGGGCGCAAGCCUGAUCCAGCCCUACCGCGUGGGUGAAGAAGGCCUUCGGGUUGUAAAGCCCUUUUGUUGGGAAAGAAAAGCAGCAGGUUAAUCCCCCGCUGUUCUGACGGUACCCAAAGAAUAAGCACCGGCUAACUUCGUG